AAAAAUCUCAGUAUGGUAAUUCUGUGGAGAAAAAAAAAAAGCCCAUCCAGGUCUCCAGAAAUGCUUUGGGUUCAUCUUUCAUUGCUGCAAGGAACUUCCAUGCCUCUAACACUCAUCUUCAAAAGACUGAGAUGGGAUUUUGCUGUGUUGGCCAGGCUGGUCCAAACUCUUGGCCUCAAGUGGUCCGCCCGCCUCCCAAAGUGCUGGUAUUACUGGCGUGAGCCACUGCACCCAACCCCUGUAUGCUAAGAUGAAGAAUACCACCUAUACUACCCUGUGUGCCUUGAAAGAGAAAGACACACUUUGUUAACAGGACUGCUGAGAUGUCCUCUAUUCUUGAAGAGCGUAUUCUUGGAGCUGAUACCUCUGUUGAUCUUGAAGAAACUGGGCGUGUCUUAAGUAUUGGUGAUGGUAUUGCCCGCGUACAUGGGCUGAGGAAUGUUCAAGCAGAAGAAAUGGUAGAGUUUUCUUCAGGCUUAAAGGGUAUGUCCUUGAACUUGGAACCUGACAAUGUUGGUGU
rnacentral:lncRNA from 1 species